GAUGAACGCUGGCGGCGUGCCUAAUACAUGCAAGUCGAGCGAAUGGAUUAAGAGCUUGCUCUUAUGAAGUUAGCGGCGGACGGGUGAGUAACACGUGGGUAACCUGCCCAUAAGACUGGGAUAACUCCGGGAAACCGGGGCUAAUACCGGAUAAUAUUUUGAACUGCAUGGUUCAAAAUUGAAAGGCGGCUUCGGCUGUCACUUAUGGAUGGACCCGCGUCGCAUUAGCUAGUUGGUGAGGUAACGGCUCACCAAGGCAACGAUGCGUAGCCGACCUGAGAGGAUGAUCGGCCACAAUGGGACUGAGACACGGCCCAGACUCCUGCGGGAGGCAUCAGUAGGGAAUCUUCCGCAAUGGACGAAAGUCUGACGGAGCAACGCCUCGUGAGUGAUGAAGGCUUUCGGGUCGUAAAACUCUGUUGUUAGGGAAGAACAAGUGCUAGUUGAAUAAGCUGGCACCUUGACGGUACCUAACCAGAAAGCCACGGCUAACUACGUGCCAGCCGCCGCAGUAA
rnacentral:rRNA from 1 species